AGAAAGGUAAGCUAAAUAAAGCUAGUAGGUUCAUACCCUUCUUAUAGAAGUAUAAUUCUUCUCCUUUCUA
rnacentral:tRNA from 1 species